rnacentral:rRNA from 1 species
UACGUAGGGGGCAAGCGUUGUCCGGAUUUAUUGGGCGUAAAGAGCGUGUAGGCGGCCCGGUAAGUCCGCCGUGAAAGUCCAGGGCUCAACCCUGGAAUGCCGGUGGAAACUGCCGGGCUGGAGUCCGGAAGAGGCGAGUGGAAUUCCUGGUGUAGCGGUGAAAUGCGCAGAUAUCAGGAGGAACACCAAUGGCGAAGGCAGCUCGCUGGGACGUGACUGACGCUGAGACGCGAAAGCGUGGGGAGCAAACAGG